AGAGUUUGAUCCUGGCUCAGAGCGAACGCUGGCGGCAGGCCUAACACAUGCAAGUCGAGCGCCCCGCAAGGGGAGCGGCAGACGGGAGAGUAACACGUGGGAACGUACCCUUCAGUUCGGAACAACUCAGGGAAACUUGGGCUAAUACCGAAUACGUCCGUAAGGAGAAAGAUUUAUCGCUGAAGGAUCGGCCCGCGUCUGAUUAGCUUGUUGGUGAGGUAACGGCUCACCAAGGCUACGAUCAGUAGCUGGUCUGAGAGGAUGAUCAGCCUCACUGGGACUGAGACACGGCCCAGACUCCUACGGGAGGCAGCAGUGGGGAAUAUUGGACAAUGGGCGCAAGCCUGAUCCAGCCAUGCCGCGUGGAUGAUGAAGGCCUUAGGGUUGUAAAGUCCUUUCGGCGGGGAAGAUAAUGACGGUACCCGCAGAAGAAGCCCCGGCUAACUUCGUGCCAGCAGCCGCGGUAAUACGAAGGGGGCUAGCGUUGCUCGGAAUCACUGGGCGUAAAGCGCACGUAGGCGGCUUUUUAAGUCAGGGGUGAAAUCCUGGAGCUCAACUCCAGAACUGCCUUUGAUACUGAGAAGCUUGAGUCCGGGAGAGGUGAGUGGAACUGCGAGUGUAGAGGUGAAAUUCGUAGAUAUUCGCAAGAACACCAGUGGCGAAGGCGGCUCACUGGCCCGGUACUGACGCUGAGGUGCGAAAGCGUGGGGAGCAAACAGGAUUAGAUACCCUAGUAGUCC
rnacentral:rRNA from 1 species